UGGGGAAUAUUGCACAAUGGGCGCAAGCCUGAUGCAGCGACGCCGCGUGGGGGAUGAAGGCCUUCGGGUUGUAAACUCCUUUCAACCAUGACGAAGCGUAAGUGACGGUAGUGGUAGAAGAAGCACCGGCUAACUACGUGCCAGCAGCCGCGGUAAUACGUAGGGUGCGAGCGUUGUCCGGAAUUACUGGGCGUAAAGAGCUCGUAGGUGGUUUGUCGCGUCGUCUGUGAAAUUCCGGGGCUUAACUCCGGGCGUGCAGGCGAUACGGGCAUAACUUGAGUGCUGUAGGGGAGACUGGAAUUCCUGGUGUAGCGGUGAAAUGCGCAGAUAUCAGGAGGAACACCAAUGGCGAAGGCAGGUCUCUGGGCAGUAACUGACGCUGAGGAGCGAAAGCAUGGGUAGCGAACAGGA
rnacentral:rRNA from 1 species